rnacentral:rRNA from 1 species
GGGGGGGGGGGGGGGGGGGGGGAGUGGGGGCGAGGCGGGGGAAGAGAGGGGGGGCUUGCUCCGCGGACGUUAGCGGCGGACGGGGGAGUAACACGGGGGUAACCGACCUGUAAGACUGGGAUAACUUCGGGAAACCGGAGCUAAUACCGGAUAAUAUAUUGCACAGCAUGGUUCAAUAGUGAAAGACGGGUUUGCUGUCACGGAUAGAUGGAUCCGCGGCGCAGUAGCUAGUUGGUAAGGUAACGGCUUACCAAGGCAAAGAUGCGUAGCCGACCUGAGAGCGUGUUACGCCACACUGGAAGUGACACACGGUUCCGGCUCCUACGGGAGGCCGCAGUAGGUACUCGUCCGCAAAUGGAGAAAGCCUGACUGAGGAACGUCGCGUGAGUGCUGAAGGUCUUCGGAUCGUAAAACUCUGUUACUCGUGAAUAACAAAUGUGUAAGUCACUAUGCAUGUCUUGACGGUAUCUAAUCAGAAAGCCACGGCUAACUACGU